rnacentral:misc_RNA from 1 species
AACUUUCGGCAAUGGAUCUCUUGGUUCCGGUAUCGAUGAAGAACGCAGCGAAAUGCGAUAAAUAAUGUGAAUUGCAGAAUUCAGUGAAUCAUCGAGUCUUUGAACGCACAUUGCGCCCCCUGGUAUUCCGGGGGGCAUGCCUGUCCGAGCGUCAUUGCUGCCCUCAAGCCCGGCUUGUGUGUUGGGUCCUCGUCCCUAGGGACGGGCCCGAAAGGCAAUGGCCGUACCGCGUCCGGUCCUCAAGCUUAUGGGGCUUUGUCACCCGCUCUGUAGGCCCGGCCGGCGCUUCGCAGACCAACCCAAAAUCUAUUUUUUCAGGUUGACCUCGGAUCAGGUAGGUAUACCCGCUGAACUUAAGCAUAUCAAGAAGCGGAGGCU